rnacentral:rRNA from 1 species
AACGAACGCUGGCGGCAUGCCUAACACAUGCAAGUCGAACGAGACCUUCGGGUCUAGUGGCGCACGGGUGCGUAACGCGUGGGAACCUGCCCUUAGGUUCGGAAUAACUCCCCGAAAGGGGUGCUAAUACCGGUUAAUGUCUUCGGACCAAAGAUUUAUGGCCUUUGGAUGGGCCCGCGUUGGAUUCGCUAGUUGGUAGGGUAAAAGCCUACCAAGGCGACGAUCCAUAGCUGGUCUGAGAGGAGGAUCAGCCACACUGGCACUGAGACACGGCCCAGAAUCGUACGGGAGGGAGCAGAGGGGAAUAUUGGACGAGGGGCGAAAGCCUGAUACAGCAAUGCCGGGUGAGUGAUGAAGGCGUUAGGGUUGUAAAGCUGUUUUACCCGGGAUGAGAAUGACAGUACCGGGAGAAUAAGCUCCGGCUAACUACGUG